UUACUUUCCAUGUGAAGAAUUCCUGUGGGCAAACACAAAGUACUUUUUAAAAAUCAGGUAUGUUUUUGGUGUUUCCAAAUAGGGCAGGGGUAAGACCUAGGAGCUUGCCUUUGGUGCCAUCUGAUUUUUGGGAAUAUUUAACCCACGAUGAUCCCAUUGCUAUUUAUAGUAGGCUUCAGACGUGGCACAGAGGGCAGCUUGGAAUUUAGGUUACAGGAAUAAGUUUUAUGAAGUUUCUGUUGUUCAACCAUUGGUUGUCUUAAAUUCAAUCAGAAUCUUGGCAUGGGGUAGAAACUUGGAAAGAAUCUCUGUCAGUCCUUUCAUUUUAUAGCUGAAGAUACUGAAGGGCACAGAGGUGAAUUACAUUUUUUUAAAAGAUUUAUUUAUUUGAGAGGCAGAGGCAGUGAGAGAAAGAGAGAGAGAGAGAGAGAGAGAGAGAGAGAGAGAGAGAAAGUCUUCCAUCUGCUAGUUCACUCCGCAGAUGGCCACAAUGGCCUGAGCCAUGCUGAUCCGAAGCCAGAAGCUUCUUCCGGGUCUCCCAUGUGAGUGCAAGGGCCAACUUCUUCCAGGUCUCCCACAUGGGUGCAGGGGCCCAAGGACUUGGGCCAUCUUCUGUUUUCCCAGGUCAAUAGCAGACAGCUGAAUCAGAAAUGGAGCAGCCGGGACUUGAACCAGCGCCCACAUGGGAUGCCGGCACUGCAGGUGGUGGCUUUUCCUGCUACACUACAGCACCAGCCCCGAUGAAUUACAUUCUUAAAGACUCAGGUUGGCAUCAGCAAUCUCCAGGUGUAUCAGGUGUCCAGAUGUACCAGGUGGAUGGUAACUCCAGGGCCCAGGACAGAACUGGGGGCGUUGGCAGCAGCUCUUCUGGAAGUUCAUGAAAACUGAAGUGUCCUUGGGACUUUCUGAUUCACAGCUGAGUUAAACUGUGAGUGUUUCUUAUGCAUGUUGUACACUUAUGCAUGUCUUCUCACCUGUGAAAUGGAGAUAGUAAUGGAACCUAACUCCGGAGAUGUUGGCAGGAUUUAUGGAGUUGAAUAGCACCUGGAGAAAAAGCAGUAUGGAAAAAAUUGCAAAAUGCAUGAAGAGAGAAUCUUACUCUGCAGAGUCAUCCUUAUCUCCUGGCUGGGUCUUCUCCGUUGCUAAAGCUCUUCCAUAGCCUUCCUGACUGUUCACCAAGGAGAUGUGGGGGCAGUUCUUUUCCUUAUGACUCCUUUGUGGGUGAUCAGUCCUGAGUUUCCAUGGUCCAGUGAGGAUGGGGAUCUGUGAUGCAGAACAGCUCCUUCCUAUGCUAUUCUUUCCCUGAGCCCCACCUUCCUCAUCCAGGGCGAGCUCCAAGGGCCAAGAUGGCAGGUUCUCUGUAAACCUUUCACUGGAGCAGGUGCCCGAGUCACACCAGAGGACUGGCAUGUGGCAUUGCUAGAACCAUAAUGUAUGAGUCAGAUACAUCCUGGAGUCCCUUUACUUGAGGUACAAAGUCAGGAAAGUUAGGAAAAGGUUCAUCACAAAUGGAAUUAAAUCAGGCAUUUCCCCCCCAGUUCAUUCAUUAUGUAGUCUGUUUUAAGAACAACAUGGAAGGAAAAUAAGUCUUUCAUCCCUAGUUUUUCCAUUCUUUUUUAUUAUUGUCAAAGUUUAAUUCAGCUGCUUUGCUUUCCUCUGCCAGUCUGGGCAUCUGAUAAUGGCACAACUGAUUUAUGGUGGGAGAGCCUGGAGGUGAAUUAUUUAUUCUCUGCAUGUAAAGGAUUAGUUAUUUCUACUUUUAAUGGAUUUUCAUUGCAGUGUGUUUAUGUAUUUUUAGAUGGAUUGAGGAGUCCUCUGACCUCUAAUAUCAUAUCACGCAAAGCUAUUUGCAAAUCACAUUAAGUGUAUGAAUUUAAACCGAUGGAAGCAAAGAAAUGAAGAAUUAUAAUGCUGAGUCUGUGACCUGAGAGAUUUUUCUUAAUUCAUACUCUUGUGUCCUAGAAGGAAUGCAUACAUGUGAGAAUAGGGCCAUAGCUCAACAGGCUGGAUUAAGGCAGCCAAUAUAGGAGUCUAGCUGUUGAGGCACAGUUCCCUAUCCCAAGGCUGAGGCAUCCCAUAGUGAGUGGGGGACAAAACAUGCAGGAUGCAGGAUAGGACUGUCCAGGAGCCAGGGUGUCAACUUCAUCCACAGAGCAUUGACAAGUAAGUUUAGGUGAGCAGAAGACUAGUUUUCCUUCUGCUUGAAAGUUAGAUCGAUCGAUCAAUCAAUCGAUCGAUCUAUCAUAUAUCCUUUCUCUCAUCUAUUUUGAAUAGAUAGAAGUUUUAUAGUGAAAAAUUCUCUCUUCAAACCUUGCCCCCACCCCAUCCCAUUGUUCUAAUUUUUCAUUCCUUGUUAUGGUAAUUACCCUUCCCAGUUUCUUAAUGCAAAACAAAUGAAAGUCUAUAUUUUUAUCCCCUGAUUUUAAAGCAAAAUUUGGGAUGUUUUUAUUCACUAUCCAUCUGUGUUUUAUUUGUUUACUUUUUAACUUAGAAAUAUUGGAGUCAAUGUUGUGGUGUAGCAAGUUACGCCCCAUUUUGCAAUGCCUGUGUUCCAUACUGGGGAGCUGAUUUGAGUCCCAGCUCCUCUGCUCCCGAAACAGGUUCCUGCUAAUGCACCUGGAUGCAUGAGAUGGUGACUCUAGUGCUUGUGUUCCUGCCACUUCCAUGGGAGAACCUAGAUGGCAUUCUGGACUCCUGGUUUCAGCCUGGUCCAGCACUGGUUGUUGUGGGCAUUUGGGUAGUGAACCAAUAGAUGGAAGAUGUAUCUCUUUCUCUUCAUCUUGCUCUUCUUUUCAAGUAGGUGAAAAUAAAAACUAAAAAAUGAACUUAUCA
rnacentral:lncRNA from 1 species